UAUGCAAAUCUGCAUCUCCUCUUGUAAUAAUAGCAGCGUUCUGAUCUAGAGAGGAAACACUUCUCAUUAGUCUUCCUUCAACACAAACAUGUUUGCUUCAGCUCCACUGCUGCUGCUGGCUCUCGCCCCCUAUGUGUUCUGUGCUACUGAGCUCAUCCAGCCAGACUCACUGCUUAUAAAGCCAGGAGAGACUUUAACCAUCACCUGUAAAGUGUCUGGAGCUUCUAUCACUGAUAGCAGCAGCCACUAUGGAACAGCUUGGAUUCGACAACCUGCAGGAAAAGCUUUAGAAUGGAUCAACAUAAUUUAUUAUGAAGGGAGCAUUUAUAAGAAAGAUUCACUUAAAGACAAGUUUGUGGUCUCUCGAGACACUUCCAGUAACUCUGUGACCUUACGGGGACAGAACAUGCAGACUGAAGACACAGCUGUGUAUUACUGCGCUCGAAGACCACACAGUGACACGACAAGCUGCAAAGCUGCACAAAAACCUCAUCACAAUUCACUUCUUUAAUUAAAUAAUAACUACAUUUUACUGAGUAACUAAUCCCCAUAUUACAAAUAUUUCAGCAUAGACACCAACACUGGCAUUAAUAAAA